AUGAUUAUCACCUUAGCAGAGUUAGAGAAGGCCACAAACCAUUUUGACAGAACUCGUGAGGUUGGUGGUGGAGGACAUGGCAUCGUUUAUAAAGGCCUUUUGGACCUACAAGUUGUAGCCAUCAAGUCAAAGAUCAUCGUACAGAGAGAAAUCGAUGAUUUCAUUAAUGAGGUUGCAAUUCUUUUUCAGAUCAACCAUAGAAAUAUCAUGAAGUUAAUUGGAUGUUGUCUCGAGGUAGAAGCCCCAUUGCUGGUUUACGAGUUCAUUUCAAAUGGAACACUUGAGCAUCAUCUGCAUGUAGAAGGACCAGUAUCACUAUCAUGGGACGGCCGAUUAAGGAUUGCACUUGAGAUUUGCACAACUCUAGCCUAUCUGUAUUCAGCGGCUUCAAGGCAUGUAUAUCAUAGAGAUAUUAAGCCCGCCAACAUACUUCUUGAUGAAAGUUUAACUACUAAGCUAUUAGAUUUUGGGGCUUCAAAGUUUAUUCCAAUUUAUCAAACGGGAGUGACUACUCACGGUCAAGGAACGACUGGCUACUUGGAUCCCAUGUACUAUUACAUUACACUGGUCACCUAA
rnacentral:rRNA from 1 species